GGAUGUGAGGGCCUACAACACUUGUCCCAUCGAUCCCCAGAGUUGAUUGGGUGGAUCUGGCUGGCUAGGUAGCUGCUCUCUUACUUCCUCCCCACUCCAUAUGCGUCCAUCCUGGAGCUGCCAACUUGUUCUCCCGCAGUAGCUGUGAACUGGUGAGGUGACAUGUGCAGCCCAGGGGUUACGAGCAGCUGUGCUCCCAUGCUGGGGCUCCAGACAAGCUCAAGACAUUGGGCAAUCAUUUAUUAUUCAAAAGAAAAGUCUGAGCAAU
rnacentral:snRNA from 1 species